GCCGUUGGCUCUCGCAGAGAUCCGGGACCUCUGGGAAAUUCGGGUUUUCCUAGUUUCCUAAUUUAAACAUAAAUCGACAGUGUGAAUUUCGGUUCCCACAAUCACCUAGAGCAAGCUCUCAUCUUUCUCCAUUGGAGUUUAUACACACACAUACAACCAGAGAAGAGAACUCUACAAAUCUCAUACGAAAUAACCCGAACCCGAACCUUAAAAACCCGAACACGUUCCGAAGUAUAAAAUAACCCGAACGGGUUCUGUACCUCUCCAUCCGAAAAC
rnacentral:lncRNA from 1 species